ACAAGAUUGGAGAGUCUCUGAUAAUGAGAAAUCUUGUAUAUCCUGAAUAUAUAUAUAUAUUUUUUUCUUUAGACACGAUGUAAAAUAGCCUUACUUUUAAAUGGAUGACCAUGGAUUUUUGAAGUGUAUGCUUUAAGGGAAUUCUUCAUUCCCACACUUUUGACAAAAAAACAUUCAACUCAAGUUAAAAUAGGCAACAAAAAACUAUUCUAUUUAUUUAUGUAUCUAAAGAGGUCAUCCAAUUGAAAUAACGAUGUGAUAAUGAAAACUGAAGCAGAGCUUAGUUAAAAUACUGGAAAACCAUAAACUGACCAAACACAACCACACACAUACACAUGCCACACAUGUGUAUACUUUGUUGCACUGUUUAUCAGACAACCACUACUUAAGACAAUCCUGCUAUAAACCCUGUACUGUCACUAGAGUAAAUAAAUUUCACUUAUUCAUUUAACCCACCAUUUUCAGCUUGUCAGGGGAUUUCAACCAGCAAUCUAUCACAAGCAUUACAUUAAUGUCAGAUAGCGUUAUUCAAAUUCAGCCAUUACUCACUGGUGUUUUGUUGGAGGCAUUUACUUAGACAAAGACAGCUUUCAAAUACUUUGAAAUGUGUCAUUUUAAGUUUACAUUAUUCUUUAGCAACAGUUUCUACUUAGAUAGUUAAAACUGAGACCAUUGAAAAUACAUUCAGAUAAACUUGUCCUGAGGUUGGUUAAAAACAAAACAGGUCAAGGGAUGUUAAUCUUAGCCUCCACGUGAACAGAGUAUUAACAUUGUUUUAAUGAGCAUAGGUCCCAGAGCUGAACACUAAUUUUAUUCAUGUUGGAUUCCAGGCUGAAAAAUUAAAAAACAAACAAAAAACACAAAAACACACACACACAAAAAAACAACUUUGGCCUUAACAUAAUAGUGCUAUGCUUGCCAAUGGUCAGUUGGUUAUGCAAGCCAAGCUGGUGUUAUAUAAACUCAUUCAGUCCCAGAUACACCACAGGCUCAGCAGAGGUCAACGUCAGAACCACAAGGAUUAGAAAAGAUCAUAGUUUGAUCUCAUAGUGGGAUCAGAAGCCAGAGAGAGAGGGAUCCACAGUUGAAGUUUUGGUGGUUAGAGAGAUCAGAGCCCUGCGACAACCCUGAGGAUGCUUGAUCAAAGCACUGAAUUCCAACCUGUACUGUCUAUACUAUUCUUUUCUAUUCUAUUGAUUUUAUUCUUACAUUUUCAGCACCCAGUUUAUUUACUUGACUAAUUCUGAUCACUCUGGCCAAUAAGAGGAAUUGAAUUCUUGCUCCGUUACUGUUGCUACAACCGUCUAGCUUUCCAUUUUUGCACAGUACAUAUACAGUUUAUCGGUGAUGAUGUAGGCAGAUUAAACACUAAAAUUCGGUAGUAAUUUUUGAGAAAAAAAGUGUCUCAACAAAAACAUGAAAUGAGCUGGCAGACACUUGGUUAUGAUGCUCCCACGCAGUGACUACAGAUUCUGUUGCAGCUUCAACAGUCCUCCUAGUAUCCACAAACCUCCACACUAAUAGGUAAUCUAAAAACUCUGGUUCAUUCAACACGCAUGUCUUGCAUUUGAAGACACUGUGUCACCCUUUAAAAAGCCCAGAGGAAACAAACUCCUUUUAGAAAGGAGCAGGGUUCAGCGGGGGACUGAGCAGUGAUUUGUUGAAAUUUAACAAUCAAAGACGAUCACACAGAAGCAUUUCUUUCUGUCACGGUUACUUUUCCCCCCAUUAUAAGGAUAAAUACAUCAUUAAAAAGAGUAGUGCCAUUCGCUUUCAGCUCCCUUCAAAUCACUCUGAGAUCGUUAGUGAGGAGAUAAAAUUUCAUGAAGCUGAUGGGGGAGAGGAAAAUGAGUUAGAGUCAGGGUGGGAGAGGAGAAGGCAGAGGGAGGACAUGGAGAUGCAGAAUGAGAAAAAUGAGAGUAGAUCAGGUCAGAGGAUGUCAAAAAGUAAUGGGAGGAAACUUCACGACACUGGAAUGUAUAGCACAGCAGAGGACUCAAACUAUACUCUUCAUCAGGCUGCUGUGAACUUUGUUUGGUUCUUGGCGAGCAAAUAGACAGUGGGUUUAAACUGGAAACAGCUACGUGCUGUGACUGAUGAGAGUGGUGAGAGUGAACUAAGAAAAAAAAAACAGCAAAAUGAAAGCUAAAAUGCUCCAUAGAGCUGAGGGAAACCACUGAGUCACUAACAAACAACCAUGGCAUUUUUCUGCCUAAACUGAGCCAAACUUCAGCCAUUGCGGUGUCAGAUCAUAAAACAGUGUUUUGUUACAGUUUUGGAAGACAGAUGAUACUGUCCUGCCAAUAGAAGCAUCAGAUCAAAAAAUGCUGGAGGCCAUGGACAAACACUGUAUUUUGUUGGCUUAAUUUGAAUGGCUUGUUGGAAAUAUGGUGCAUUAUCAGGCCAUCCAGUACUGUAUGUAAAAAUGGGGACUCUUCACCUACUUUUAGUCCCUGUGAGUUAAACUUGGCAGUCAGCAGCAGUAGCUUCACACAUACUAAUGCCAUUCUUUAUGCUACUAUCCUGUCUCAGAUAACGUGUCAACAUACUGCAGUCUAGUCAGAAUGGAUCAUACAGCCAAUGUCUUACAGUUCACGUAUAUGUGUUUAUACAUAUGCAUGUGUUUGCACAUGCAUCUUGCUAUCUCCCAGUUGAGAUCCAGCCUGUGUGAACUGCGUUAUUGUCCUGUCAGUGCUCUGCAGCGUAAUGAGCUGUAAUGUGCGUCUCGUUCUCCCCAGCCCAAGCUUCCUAUCCAGUUCCUCCCCCCCCCCCCCCCCCGCUUGAUGUCCCAGAGGGAAGUAUGUCCCUGAUGGCUAUUAGGGCGGUCAGAGCUGAUCGUAUCACUGCGGCUGACUUUAUUCAAAGAUUAUUCUGCAGACAGAAUAGAACUAACUUCAGCCGUCAGAGAUGAAGACAGAGCCUAAAGGAGCGGACAGAGAGUAAGAUGAGCAGAGAUGAGGAAAAAUUACUCAUCUGAGAUAAAGAGUGGCAAUGAGUGACACAAGAAGUGAAAAAGGAAGAUGUGGAGGAGAGAUGGGAGAUAAUGAGGCAGGAAAUGCUCAUUUUCAUCUCAGCCAUUAGUACAUUUACCCACAAGGAAAAAGAUGCUGUUUAAGAACAAGAGUGGGAAGACGGGAGAGAGUGGAGAGGACAGAGGUGGAUGGAAAUAAUAGCAUUAAUAAUGGUCAGAAUCAGAAUGAGUGAGAAUAAGAGUGAGUUAGUAAAUCAGGAAACAAGAAGCAAGGACAUGAGCAUAUAGUAAACAUUUUAUUCACCUACAUUUCUAAUUAACUAACAACUGAUAACACUUUCUUUUAUUCGUUGCAGUGACAAUGCAUACUUAUUUACUUACUUCCCACAAUGCUAUAGUGUCUUUAUUGUAGUUAUGCAGUUAACUGAUUAAGCAUGUAAAUGAGCUCAUUUCAUGCCUGUAGUCAUGAUGACCAGACAUUUACCACAGACCUCAGGGAAACCUGGGUCAGAGUUUAUUUCUAGUCCUCACCACUUCAUAACCACUAUUAGCAACCACACAGUACAUAUUCACAACUGUUACACUCCAGACAGAGUGUGUUUGUGGUCUUUGUCUGGUCAGUAGGGGCUCAGGCGUCCACUGGUCACCACCACCUAUAGUUUGUACCUCUGCCAACUCAACCACUGUCCAAUCACGAGACAGUUUCUGUGGACGCAUGGACCCACAGUUUCAGCCAAUUAGAUACCAUCAGCUUUUGGAACAGACUCAAUGGACUCCACAACAAAGGAAAGAAUGCACACUUAAGUAUCUGUUAUUGCGGACAGGACAAUUUACACGAGCCUCCAACCAGGCAGUUAUGGGCUUCUUUCCUUUAUCUUGCUACAGACAAGAACUGCUUGUAAAAUCAAACCGAAGCGAAGGAUAAAAUCUCUUCACCUAUCACCAACCCAGUAAUCCCAGCUACUCAACCACUCCACCGCAAGAUCGUCAUCACUGAUCUUCAUACAGGAGAUGCACCGAGUACAACAGCUCAGACAGAUGACAAUAAAACUGGUUUGACAAAAUAAGCUGAGAAACUACAUCAUGGCACUGACUUCAUUCUGAUCCACUUUCCUGUAUGUGGAUGACCAUGUUCUAAAUAAUUAUACAAAAUGGAUUUGCAUGGAGAGGGACUCUAGCCUGUGUAAAAAUAGUGUGGUGACAUGAAAUCCUUAUCUGGAUGAGGACGAAAAAUACCAGCAGCAUAUAAUGGCAAUCUCUGAGCCCUGAUGACACUGAUCGGCAUAAAAGGUUUCUGUCUGGAGUCGAUUUGAACACUGGUAAUUGAAGAUUUACAGUUACUGUGAAAACAAUAUGGGACUGACAGGAGGACACAGUUGUACAGAUAAGACAUUCAAACUGUGAUGCAACUGUUAGUGUAAAGCUUGUCUCUUACUUUUUAGACAGCACAACUGUACAAGCAUGAAAUUAAUGAUUUGUUUAUUUCAAAUGUCAUGAUUUAUUGGGGACAGGAUGAUGAAUUUGUACUUUGUACUAGAAGCUGUGGUUAGGCUUCACUGUGAAGGCUAAGGCCAAAAUAUAAGGGAAAUAGCAUUGUAGCAUUAUAGUAUCUUAGCAUUACAGCAUUGUGUGUACCUCACUUGACAUGCAUGGCUAUUACAUUUCUCUGUUUCCCUUUACUGUCCUCCUUGAUGGAGUAAACUGUUUGCCUCCUCACAAAUAAGUACGACAAACUUAGCUUAGCUUAGAUUCAUUAGUUACUAUAUACUUAUGUGUAAGGGUUUUGCUUUAGAUUUGAUUCAAUGUUCUUUCUGUAGCUUAGUUUUAAGUUUUAUUUGAGAAUUCAUUUUUUUUUUGUGUAAAUUGUCAAUCAUGUCAUACAUCACAUUUCUUUACCUUUAAAUGGAGUUCAUUAAAGUUAGAACUUUCUACUUGCGUGGAUUGUGCAUGAAACACAUACAAUUUGAAAAUGAUGAGUUUUCUUAAUUUAUGCAUUAAAUAAAUGCUCAUUUAAAAUUGA